GUAUUAACCUUAGCCAAUUAUUUUAUAAUCUUUUUCAUAAUGCUUGAUCUGAAUAGAUGAUAUUCCCUACUGUAAUCCAGCUUGCAAAUAUUUUCCUUCACUUCUGGAUUUUAUUCAAUUUAUUAUGGCUUGUUUGGCUUCUGAAGUUUUUCCUCUAUUUUUUUUCCUAUGUCUGACUUCUCAUGACAGAUUUAGAGUUGUUUUAUUGUGUGAGGACAAGCUUUUUUACAUAGAAAAACACAGAAAAAAGGAAGUAGACAGUGAGGAAAGAAGAAAGAAUAUUGUAUAGAAAGAGAAUAGCUAUACAGUUUAAGGAUUAUGUUAGCAAAGAGUUUAAAAUAUAGGUGAAUAGGAAAAUAAAGUCGUAUUUCAUCACAAGAUAGAGGGAUAUUCCUUGGAAAAAAUCAUUUUUCUGUUUCACCAAAGUUUGGUCAUUUGGUCUUUAAUCUUUGUCCUUCUUCAGAGUCAUGUGGCAACACUUCUCUCCCUUCUGCUGUAGCUGAUGCUUGUCUAGCCUUCUCUGGGCAGAGGCAAGGUCCUGUUUUCCUCCCUCUAUUUUCUUUGUAAUUUUUGAUCAGGCAUGAACUUGUUGCUUUUUUCCUUUUGUGGUGGACCCUUUUGACUGUCAGAAGCUCAGUGUCACAACUCAGUUUUGAAGCAUAUAUAUAUAAAGAGAGAGAGACUUUUUUUUGAAGCCCUGCUACAGUAGGUGAAUACUUGCAGAGGAAAAUAGAUGCCUAAUGGAAAAGAUUGAUGAAUUUCUGCGCAGAAAACAUGCAAAAUAUUAAUUUCAAGAUAUAACUCAGUACUUUAACAAAAAUAAGAAGUAGACACUGGGAAAUAGGAUAAUUCAAUUUUGCUAAUUUCCUUUAGGGAAAAAUCAAGCUAUUACACUUUUGUUUUACACUUUAAUAAUUAUAGAAAUGUUGUUUUCAUUUGUAUUCCUAAAGUGUUAAGAUAGCUAUUAAUAAAACUAAAUUUUACGUCAAAGAUAGUGUUAAAAAGGAGACAACAAUGUACAAAAAUAAUACCUUAAAAAGAGAAAGAGAAAUGAAUUAUUUGAAAUAUACCAAUAUGCAACAGAUGCACAUUAGUUAGGAUGUGUGGUUAAACUUAAGGCUGUAGAUUAGGUUAAAACCAAAGUCCAACAAUAUGUUUCUUAAAAGAAAUGUGCAACUAAUUUAAAAAGAGAUUUAAUAAUGAAAAAAACAAACUAAGAUAAAUUAGGGUAAAGAUAAAGUAAAAUAAAUGAUGGCAAUUUAUUUCUGUAAAAUUAAAUUUUGAGACAUCAAUCUCUUUGAUAAAAGGAACAACUAAUGGAACAAUUCAUAGUCACAAACUUCUAUGCCAUUUGUUAACAAAGUACCAAAUAUAUAAAACAAAAUCUGUUCAAGUGUAUAGAGAAUUUGUGAGGGGUACAAUUUUUCCAUGUUUUAACAUUCAUAAUUGAUUAUGCAAGUGAAAUAAAUUGUUCAAAAUAUAAUAAUGAAGUUGAUGUAAAAAUAUGUAUUUAUUCAUUCUGAAAACAUUUAGUGAGGGCUUACUGUGUGUCAGACAUUCUUUCAGAUGCCAGAGGAUGCUAUAGAAAAAUGCGUGCCCUCUUGUAAUACUUUGUUCAAGUUCUGAUCAGAAGGAUGAAUGAUGGAGCCCAAGAAGCCAGAGUCUCAUUGUGUUGCUCAGGCUGGAAUCCAGUGGCAUGAUCUCGGCUCAGUGCAACCUCCGCCUCCUGGGUUCAAGCAGUUCUCCUAGAUCAGCAUCAGCGUCCCGAGUAGCUGGGAUUACAGGCACCCGCCACCAUGCCUGGCUAAUGUUGGUCAGGCUGGCUCGAACUCCUGACCUCAAGAGAUCCACCUGCUUUGGCCUCCCAAAGUGCUCGGAUUACAGGCAUGAGCUGCCACACCCAGCCUCCAAAUACUUUUUUUUUAAAUCAAAAUAAUGAUUUCAAUGACUGAGAUCUGUUAUGUAUUUCAACAUAAUCAUGUUUCAUAAAGAUUUAGUCUUCUGAAAGCCAGUGUGAAUUGUUUUUUUUUCUACAAGUUUAAUCAAAACCAAACAAAAUCAACAAACCUCUACCCCCAAAUGUGGUACUGUUUCCUAAAAGAAUGCAUUUCCUUUUUACUUCCAUCACCAUACAUUGGUUAAUGACUUCUGCACUUAAAAUUCCUAACACACCUCACAUAGCUCUUUUGUGCAGUAACACUUUUCUUCUCUCCAAAUAUGUGGUUCAAUGGAAGUUACAUUUUUUAAAAUUAUAUUUUCCUCCUCACAACUUAUUGGUUCUAAGAUUUAUACCCUUUCCAAUGUGUAUAAGACUACUGUGAUUUUGGGACAUGGGACCAAGUGUAGCAUGUCUGAUCCUAUCUUUGAUGGCAAAUACUUCUGCUGUGAGAUAUGGGAGCUGCUGAGUGAAAAUCUUUUACUGAUAAUAAAGCCAGUUGUCAGAGGGAAGCAAAAGUAAGAGAAGAAGAGACUUGAGGUGACUUUAAUGAAAACUCCUACCUGCCAAAACUAGGCAAAAAUAUGACAUACAUAAAUAUAAAUUUCCACAAGGAAAUUUCUUUCCCACCUUUCUAUAUCUUUCUUACUCUUUAUCAUCACAUUUACUAAUAGAGAUAUUUAAUGUUCUUGAUACUCAAAGUGCAUUUGAUAUACUAUUUCUUACUCAUCUCUUCCCUACCCCUGUUUCAUAUGGGGAGCUCCAGGCAACCUAGUGGGAUGGGAAUUGGGGACUGAGAGCGAAGAAGUGUAGCAAUAGCAUUAGCACAGUAUUGGGGAAAGAGAGAGGAAACUGACAACAUUCCUUCUUCUCACUAUUGUUGUAGCUUGAGGAAGGCCUUUGCUUGGGGAGGUGAAAAUGAAGGCUCAACUACAAAAUGCAAUUUAAUUAACAAGAUGGGAAUUUUCCUCAGAUAAGAGUGACUGUUAGACUUAUUGUGCCAGAAUAAUGGCAUAAUAAUAAUGUUAUGAAGACUAUCUAAGAUUUCUCCCAGAGAAAAGAGGAAGAACAUAUCAUGGUGGAUUUCCAGGCCACAGUGAAAAAGAAUAGUUUUUUUGAAUAGUUGCGUCCUAAUGAGUUAUGUUCGUUCAAUGUAGCAGUUAGAGUGGUAUAAUAUGGGCAUGAACACACUACAGUUGUUGGCCCCAAAGAUUAAUAACAAUGGGCAUAAAACAUGGAAUAAGAUACAUAAAUACUUAUUUAUAUUGUCUCAAUUUAUGACAAUAGGAAUACUGUAAAAACUGAUACAAAGCAAGUAAUUCAAAUAAUGAUAAUUAUAACUUUAAAUCAAGAAACAGAACAAAUUGCUUAAAUUACAUGCCAGAAAAGAUGGCUAAAAAGGUUUCAGUGUCAAUAAUUAUAACAGGAAAUCUUCCUUUAAAUCAUUUUUACAAGAACAAUAAUUUUAAGCAUCUCAAACACAUGCACAUUUACAUUACCACAUACGUGCACCCUCUCAUUCUUUGGGCCAUCAUAAGUAGUAUAAUAUUAUGAUGCUUUCAUUUAUUUGUUGCACAUACACUCAACUCCUUCUAUAUUUAUGGCCUGUUGCUGGGAUCUAGGGAAAAAUGCUAUACAAAUAUGCAAUGAACUCACUCUCCAGGGGUAUAUUUCCUACUUUGGAGACAGUUAACUAACAAGGCAGACAUGAUGCAGUUUGGCUGUAUCCUCUAAGAGGUGAAGUUUUAGGACCGCAAGUAGACAGAAGGGGUUGAGGAAUGAGGAAGCAGAGCUUCUAGAUAAGGGUUUCUGCUAAAAAAAAAAAAAAAAUGUGCCGCAGAAACAGAUGGAGGUUAGGUAGGAGUACACUAAAAAAUAAAAACAAAAGAAGAACAAAGGAAUGGAACCCAUGUUUUAAGAAGCCUAGAAAGCAGGAAUAGUAUGAGUACGUUGAAGGGGAAGGAGAAAAUAGACGAGAGGCAAGCAGAGGCCAAAUCACAGCUGAUCUGGUAAUGCAUGUAAAGGAGUUUAGACUUUAAGAGUAAUAUCAUCAAGAAUAGUUUCAAGCUAUGGAACUCAAGUGGAAAUGACACUAAAAUAUUUGCUUUAUAGAAAGAUCUUUUUGAAUUUUUGAUUCCUAAAAAUAUGAUGGAAAUUCCUAUGGAUUGAAAUAACAGAUAUGCUGAAACCAAAACAAACUGCUGUGUUCUAAAUGUGUCCUCCAAACUUCGUAUGUUGUAACUUCAUUGCAUUGUGAUAGUAUUAAAGGUAGUGCCUUUAGGAGGUGAUUAAGUCAGAAGGGCAGAGUCCUCAUGAAUGAAAUUAGAGACCUCAUAAAAGAGGCUGAAGGAAGUCUCUUUUGCCCUUCUGACCAUUCAGCCAUGUGAGGACAAGUAUUUGUCCACUUAGGAGGGUACAGCAACAAAGUGUCAUUAUUGAAAGCGAGAACGGCCUGCACCACACACGAAACUUGCCAGUGCAUUGAUCUUGGACUUCCCAGCCUCAUGAACUGUGAGAAAUACAUUUCGAUUAUUUAUAAAGUAACCAGGCUAUGGUAUUUUGUUGUAGCAGCACAGAUGGACAAAGACACAAACAUAUACAAGUUUUUAAAGCAUCACUGGGAUGAUAAGAAAUUCACCAAUGCCAAAAAAAAUAUUUUAAUUAAAAAAAGAUGAAAAGAACCUUUUUAGCUUUGAUAUGGUUUGGAUAUUUGUCCCUGCCCAAUUCUCAUACCGAAGUGUAAUCCCCAACAUUGGAGGUGGGACCUGGUAGGAGGUGUUUGGAUUAUGGGAGCCGAUCCCUCAUGAAUGGCUCUGAACAUCCCCUUGGUUAUAAGGGAGCUCUCAUUUUGAGUUCACAUGAGAUCUGGUCAUUUAAAUAUGUGUGGCAUCUCCCCCCAUUCUGUCUCUCUCUUGCUCCUGUCUGGCCUUGUGAACUUGCUGGCUCCUCCUUCACCUUCCACUAUGAUUGUAGGCUUCCUUUGGCCUCCCCAGAAGCCAAGAAGAUCCCAGCACCAUGUUUCCUGUAAAGCCUGCAGAACCGUGAGCCAAUUAAACCUCUUUUCUUUAUGUAAUACACAGUCUCAGAUAUUUCUUUAUAGCAAUGCAAGAACAACCUAAUGCAAGCCCCAACAAUUUCUGUGGAAAAAUGGAAGUUCAACUCUUCCUCUUUGCAGACUGCAUACAAUAUAGCAUAUGACACACUGUGGGGAAGCAUCAAAUAAGAGACUUCUUCAUAAGAUUAGUCCUCAAAAACAGUGAUUAAAUAUAUAUUAAGCCCCUACUCCUCAGAAGUGACAGCAAAGAAAUUUGGCUUUCUCAUUUUUGGCAUUGGGUACAAGGAACAAAAUGAUGUGAUGAUAGAUAAGCAUUAGCUAGUUAUUACAGAAGAUUGCAUUCUGAAUAUGUGACUAUCUUUAAAAAGUACAAUCUGCCACAUGUAACAGAGUUAACUGGAACACUGCUUAUGUGUUAAGAAAAGUUUUAAGGUGAGAAAUUAAGUUCAGGUGGUCUCAGGUAAUCAAAUGCAAGUUCUCUCCUGAAAAACAUUACAAAACUUGGAUUAUAGGCUACAGGUAAAUUAUAUUGUGAUUUUUUUCAGUAUUUCUCAUUUCAUUUUAUAUUAUACCCUUCUAUUUUGUAUCUUAUUAGCCCUUGGAUUUAUGAAUGUGUCUGAUGAUUCAAUGUGAUGAUUUGUUAAGAUAAGGUAUGAAAUGGAAGAGGAGUAUGUUAGGCUGGUACCGAUGGAUAAUUCUGAUAAGGUUAGUGAUGAAGGCUUACAUUCUGCCGAGCCAUGUAGUGGUGUGGAAAGGGACACAUAAAAUCUCCUUUUCCAACAAAAUCUCUCAGUGAAUUUUACUUGAGCUGAUAGUCCAACCUGGCAUAUGUCUUUCUGUCUUCUCUGACAAACUCAAAAUGCAACAUUAUUUCCAGGAAAAUUAAAGACACUAAUUUCAAAUCACAGUCAUUGGAUAAAUGAUGGUACUGAUUGUUCUAUACAACUAUUAGAAUCUACAAUAUAAUGUUUGUUGAAAAGUACAUCCUGUGAAAAGGAUAUAAGUUAUGUAUCAGCAGAAAAUAUUGUCCAGAAAAGUCACACAAAUGGUCAAAACCUAAUAAUGCCAGCAUGUAAAAAUACACUGAGAUAAUUGCUGAGAAAAGAUGCUGAAGAAAAAUUUGAAAAGAUUCUACUUUUAAGGAGUAUCAUCAAGGCAUUGAUGAUAUGUUACAAUAUAUUGAAGAGGUUUUGUGUAAUAAACUGAAAAACCAGAACCCUAAUAUCCAAGUUGAUGAAUAGAUUUCACCAAUAAAUGGCAUUCUGUAGUAUUUGUAAUAUUUGUAAAUGAUAAUAAAAUUCACAGUAACAUUCCCUGUGCAAAGAGUGGUCUGAAACAAGCAAAGGACUAGAUAUAUUUAAUGUAUUAUCUUUAUAUCUGAAACAGAAGUUCUAUCUUCGAUGGGUUGUAUUAGCAUUUGCACUAGGUACUCCAUCAAUAGUUGGCUCCUUGAAGAUUUUACCUCUUGUAUUAAGCCAAAGUCCAAAUACUGUCAUCAAACAAUACUUUGUUCACAAACUGGUGCUAGUGUAAAGAAAGUCAUGGAAAGGAAAGAAUAAAAGUUCAGAAAUACCACAAAAAAUGGUCAAUUUUAUUAAACCCAAACCAGCUUGCUUAAGAAUCUUUUAAAAAAUGUAUAAAAACCUGGGCAAAUAAUCUAUGAAUAUAUGCCCAGUUGUCUCCAGGAAGUAAGAAAUUUACCUUGUCUACACCCAUGGUUUUAUAUGCUGCCCAUAUAUUAAUAGAGGGAAGAGGGAGAGGGUCCUCAGUAAUCAGUAAUUGUAAACAUUCAUGCUUGUUGGAAUGGUCUUCCCAUGGCCCAGUACUUUCUGCUGCAAAAGAGCACCCUCAGUAUGAUGGACAAAUUGCUAGUCAAAUUGAGAAAUUUGAGUAAAGUCAGAGAGACUUUGUCAAAAAAAAAAUCCCUACUGGCACAGAAGCUCUGUAGAGAAGACAUACUCUAUAUAGAACACAGAAUUAAGAUUUACCCAGUAUGGUAUGCCUACAAUUACAUAAGUUGGAAUUUCCUUGGGAAGUGAUUUUGGCAAAUGUUGAAGAGAAAAUCAGCACCUAUUUAUAGAAACCAGAAUUUAAAAAAAAAUCCUUUGAGUGGGGUGGUCUUUCUCAAACUUGAAGAGAUAACCAAGCCAGAUUUGAUUAGAUAAUUUAAAAGUUUAUCCAUGUGCCCAGCUCUCUGCACAAACACCCUAAAGAAAGUAAAUUCUUUGGGAGAGGCAACUGUAUAAUUUUUAAAGCUUAGGCUAAAUAUGAUGUAGUGCCAAAACUACAGAUUUUUUGAGAAGUUUAGAUGUCUAUCUAAAAAGCAUUUUAAAGUAGGUUUGAAAAAAAUUCAGGAUUAUUUUAAGAAUGGACAUCUCUAUGAGAAGGGUUAAGAGGAACAUUGAAAACAUUGCCCUGCAAGGUUAUCCAAGGCAUGUAUCAAUGUCUCAGUGAACAGUCACUUGCUUAGAAGCCUUUGGUAGUGAGGAUUUGCAUAUUAAAUUACUGGACACCUACCGGAAAGCAGGAGAAGCAUCCAAGAUAUGCAUAUUGAUUCUGGAAACGCUGAAAUAGCAAGUUGAAGAGAGAAGGGGACUAUCACUGGGAACAUCAUAUCAGAAUUCAUCAGAGAAAAUGCCAACAGGAGCUGUCUUUUACUUAAUAUAGUGAGAAAAGUGUGAGCUUCCAAUGACAACAGGACCAGGCACAGCUCCUGUGGAGAGCACGCAGAAGAUAGGAGCAAAUCUUUAGGCCAUCCUCUUCUCCUGUUCCAAUGGAUGGUUACACAAGGAUGGGAGUUGGGUGGGGUAAAAAAUGCAAUGGGAAAUAUUAUCCUACUUUGGGAGGUGAAGGAUAAUCAGAUAAUGAUUUUCAAAACUGAAGGGAGACAGAGGCAAGUAGAAAAUAAGGCAAAGAGAAUUACCUAGAAUGUUUACUCUUAUGUAUAGCUUGGUUUUAUGACCUGGCUGGUUGUGAUUCCCAUAUAUUAAUAAGUGGGUUCAUGGUCAGGACUUACAGGGCCAGGGCCAGGGUGAAGACUUUUAACAUGAAAAUUAUUUGAUUUAACCUCAGAAUUUAAUGUUACAGAAAUUCUCAAAGAUUGUAUCAAGGUACAUUGCUCAGUGUCAUAGUACACCUACUACUAGAUAGGAUUCUUUCAGGGACAUAUGUCUGGUGUGUAAACUAACAUUCUUUCUCUGUUUGCUAGUUGCUCUGAGGUUACUACAGCAGCCCCUGAUUUAUCUAUGUGGACAAUAUCCACAGAAUUUAAGCAUUAUGGUCCUGUUGCCUUGUGAUAAUGAAAAAGCAUCUAACUCUACAUUACUAGAUGUCAAUUUUGCUACAAAACUUGGAUUUUGACAAUCACACUUCCACCUUAUACACACUUGGGCAAGAAAGUUUCUAUUAGAGCCCGGAGAAAUACCACCUACAGACAAGAUCCUUAGAUUUCAGAGAUUAAAGAUGUUGUAAAGCAGGGACUCCCUAUCACCCAGUGGAGCAUGAACAAGUUGAAAUUACACGCCCUUUCUGAAUGAAGAAUGUAGCCCAUGCAUUUGUUAGCUCAGUGGUACUUGUGGUCACAGAUAAACCCCACAAUACCAGUGUUUUAAAACAGAUAAAAUUCAUUUCUUAUUCUUACGAAGUUGAAAAUAUAGUUAUGUGCUUGAGCUGAUUCACAUCAGAUCACAAAAACUGACUAGUUAAUUUUCAGUAAUUGUGUGAGCCAAUUGUUAGUCAUAGUCAUUAUUUUAAAAUAAACACAUAAUUAAAUUAUAUUAAAAACAAAUCUAAUUAAUAAUCAAAAUCCAUCACAUCCUAAUAAUGCUACUAAUAUCUCUGCUGUAGUGGUUAUUAACUUCUAUUGUAUUUGUAUAAUAGAAAUUUUAUGAAAUGGCGUGAUAUGCACAUCUCUUCCUAACUCUGUAUUCAGUGCUGAGACCUUAGCAUGAACACGGUCCAAUUUAAAAGUCAUCAAAGGCAACCUACUUACUAAAUAUUUUGUCACAUAACAUAGGUCUCCAUCUUCCCAUCCUCCAACAUCAAUUUCCUUGUAAUCUGCACCCCAGUGCCUAGGUCAAUAUUAUCAUUUUUAGGUUUUGGCCGGCAAUAUCACAUUCUAACUCAUUUCCAUAUUAGUUAGGAUAACAACAUCUACAGCAACUCCAAGACAUCAGUGAAUUAAUAAAUUUGCACUUUAUUUCUGGCUCACAUAAAUCCACAAAUGUUGCUAUUCUCCUCCAAAUGACUCUUUGCAUCCUGAGGCUCAAUCUUUGACACCUGAUUUCCAAAUUUCCCCAGGGAUCCAUCCUAUCUAGCCAGAAUGGAAAAAAAAAAAAAAAAAAGCAAAGAGGAUCGUGUGGGAAGGAUCUAUGGACCAGACCUGAGGAUAGCACAUACCAUCUUUCUCUUGUAUAGAACUCAGUUUCAGGCCACAUGGAUGCUGGGAAAUAGAGACAUCUGUGUGCACAGGUAGAAAAUAACAUAGUUCUAGUGAGGAGCCAGCAUGCCUGUGCACACCCUCAGAUGUGUGAACUCAGAGUCACACGUAGUAACUUUCUUACCUAUCAACCAAUAUCUCAUCUGAUACCACCCAAGCCAACUCAAAUAGUCACGACAUCAGUUAAUGCCAUCAUUAUCUGGUACUUAGGAAAUUGAGCUCAGAGAGGUGAAGUGACUUGCAACAGUCAAAAUGGAACUGACAGAAGCCAUGGUAGAAGCUGUGCUCAUAAACAUAUUUGGUUGAAGUAUGUACUCUGCCUCAGCUUACCUCCCUUCUUCCUUAUCCAAACAUGCUGGAGUAACCUUAGCAUAUCCCUGGAGUUUAAGGGCUAUGCUGAAAUAAUCGCUGUUCUGUGUCAUCUCUGGUUAAAUUUCUCCAAGCUGGCUCAGGACUCCCAAAAACCUCUCUUUCAGCAGGUAAAGCUCUCAAGACGUAAGAUAGUAUGGCAAGAAAUUAGUAGGGAUAGAAGAAAUUAUUUAGUUUCAUCUUAAAUGUUUAUAGCAUAUUGCAUCAUUAAACUUUUACAUGAAUUUGUUUGGGAUAGUUUUACUAAUGGUAAAAAUAAUAUCUUUACAUUGAGCUAAAUUUGCCUCCAUGUAAUUCCUAUGGAUUGUUUCCUAACUGAAUUGCAGGGAAGAAUAAUGUAAGUGUAAUUCUUCCAAGUUACAAAUUUUUAAAUAUUUAGAAGUGACCAUCUCACCCCAGUUUUCUGUUUUACAUGAAAUAAUUACAGGUCCUUUACCUGUCUAUUUUAUGGCAUCAGUUCUGCAGCCUUUAUCUUCCUCAAUACCUUUUGAAAAUAUGGUACCUAGAAGGUAAUUUAAUUUCCCAGGUGUGCUCUGAGCAUUAGAUUAGGAAUGCUCUCCAUUAUGGACUAUGCAUUCUUCUUUAUUUCUUUUUCUCCCACUGUGGUUCCUCUGGGAAGGCAUUGCUUUUUUUCAUCAUAGAAUUAUUAUUACUAUUUCAACACUGAACUUCCUUUCUCAUUAUAUGUUUGGCCCUGAAUACUGUCUCCUCCGUAUCCCUAUUUCUACAACAUCAUUCACAGUAAUGAGAUCUAUUGUUACUCAUCUGGUUAUUAAAUCAGCUCCUGUUGUCUAUAGGUUUGUAUUUUCAUCAUUAGUUCUGUAUCCUAAAUACUUCAAGUAAGCAAUUCCAUUUGCCCACAGUAAUCAAUAUGCAUUUAAUAUUUCAUUGGUUUUUACCACUAUCAGUUAACCAUGAUUUUACCAACUAGUACUUCCUUAAUUACAAAGUACUAAAAAAGAUCUUUUUCUUAAUCUUUGGCAACAUCAAUAUCAGCAUAUUUGAUUAUGAAUAACAAUAUAUUUAAAGAUAAAGAUGACUUCCUGAUUUAAUGCUUGAUUCAAUUUCCUCUCUAGACCCAGGAGGGAGUUAUUUAAGAGAUCCCAAUUAGGAAUGAUUUGAAUUAAUUGCAGCAACAUAACGUACACACUGCAUUGCAUUCCCAAUUAAGUUAGAAAGAGAUGGAAGAUAUUCUGCUGACAGCAUGUCUUUAUUGGGCUAAUAGUCAUUAUUUACGUAUCAUCAAUUCUUUAUCUAAUGUCAAGUAUUUUGUUUCUUCAGAACACAAAUAAGCAUUAUUAAGAAAAAACAAUACCAAUGAAUAAUAAAUUUAGUGAAUAAGAAUAAGAUUGGAAAAUGCAGCAUAAAUUGACGAAUCCUCAAGUACCCAAAUCUUUACUUCUGUCUGCACAUAAAAAUUAGAUGUCAACACUAUGUAGGAUUUGGAUGACUCCCUGGAGCCCAUUCUGACCUCAGAUAAAAGCUAAAUAUAUUGAGCCUUAAUUGAUUUCCAUUUGAUACUGAAGUUAAAAUGUAUCAUGGAGCAUGUGGAGAUUCUUACAGUGUUUAGAAUAUUCAUAAAACUAAAUUAUUCUCAGAGGGAAAAAUGCUUUAAUAAUGACACAUUAGAAUGGUAAGUAUUCUUUUAGUAAUAAUAAUCAUUGGCUCUUAAUCAUAAAAUAUUAGCUUCAAACUAUUACACUAUUUUUAAAAGAUUGUUUUUAUUGUGUUUAAUAUCGUUUUCCAAUUUAAUUCUAAUUUUCGUUUGAUGUUUUUAUGUAAUAUGAACAAACAUAUGACUUGAAUUAACAACAUCAAUACUUUAAAUCUCAGAUUUGCUACUUGUUUUUGUGUGACAGUGUAUACGUCAGUUUAGCUUGCAUGAUUCUCAUUUUAUUCAUGUGUAAAUUUAAGAAUAUACCAUUUCUUUCACCAAAUGUUAGUUGCUGAAUAAAUGCAUAGAUGUGUGUGUGUGCACACACAUGCAUGUGCACAGAGGUGGGGGGAGAGAGAAAAGAAAGGGAGAGAUUGUUAUUUUGUUUUGGAUCAAAAUAUUUCUCCCACAGGAUGUUCUUUGCACAAAGGCAAAUCCCUAUAUGUAAAUGGUAGAACACUUGAAUAAGAUACUGUGGUUUUAUGGGAGAAUUUUAAUCAAAUAAUUUAAUUUGAUAAUAUGUGCCUAUUGCACGUAUAUAGAAUUAGACUAAUCCCUCCUCCACAUGACCCCUCUGAUUGAAGUCAAUUCCAAAUUCUAGCUGAUACCUACAAAAUGUAACUCAAUGGAUUUGAAAAAACUCAUUUUAAAAGAAAUCAAUUAAUUUUUUUUCAAAAAUAUAUCUAGAGAGCCAAAUUAUCAGUUUGAUCCUCCCAUCAAUUCACCAGUUGACUGGUUGUGGUUGUCAGUUAUGCAGGCCUAGACUUAAUUGAAGCUGAAUAUAGUGUUUUUCUGAAAGCGGAGGAAGCCAUCCUGGAUCCCAGAAGCUAUUAUAGUUUCAUUACAUGUAGUUUUGUGAGGCAAGUACCCAGACUAAUGAAGUCUAAUUUCCUGCAGAUUAAAAAAGAGAAGUGAUAAGAUAUCACUGAUGUUAGGUAAAGAAAUUCUGAAUAUAGCACAUUUAUUCUGUUAAAUUACUCAUGAACACAUGAAAACGUGGUUGCAAGCUAACGGGAGGGCCACUAGUAUUUUCUUCCUUUGAGAGCUGUGGGGGUGUGGGAAAUUCAAGAGCCCAUUCUGUAAUCUUAAAGCCUUUCAAGUAAAAACUCUGUGGGUGAUCUCAUUUCAAGAUAAAGUUAAACUAAUAUCACAGGUCAAAACUUGCCAGCCAAGAAACCUAAAGAAAAUAUACAAUUAUCACUACCAGGAAUGCACGUAAUAUUUGUAACCUAGAAAACCACUAAAGAAGAAUGCUAUUUGUAUUGAGCUUAACAUUGCAUUCAUUUUGAACAAAUGAACAAUAUAUGGGUAUAAGUACCUACAUUCUAAAAAUAUAUCACACCUACAAAUUUAUAGCACUAGGAAAUAUCAGUAGAAAAUCAGCUGUCAGUUUACUAGAAAUAUCAGGUAAUUCAGACUGUCCAAUGUUAAAAUUAGUCUUAAAAAGCACGUUAUUGCUAUCAUAAACCAUUAAAGGUGGUUUAUAACCAGGGGAAAAAUCCUUUAAAAUCCUUCACUACUACAAUUCACAAGCCAUUGCUACAAUUCACAACUCGUUUGUUAGAGUCUUAACCGCCCUCAGCUUUGCCUUGGGCCAUUAACUAACAAACCAAUCAUUAACUGCUAGUAAUGACCACUUUCCCAGGGAUUAUUGCUUAAUUCAACUCUUGUGUGGGAUCCAUUAUUUUCUGAGAUGUCAAAAUAACUAUGCAUUAAGACAUUUUUCUGUAAUAAAAGCACCUCCUGAAAUAAACAAUGUGAAUGUCAGAGAAUUAAAUUGUUCAGUGUACACACUAUUUAAAAUACAUUACUUUAAUGAACAAUUCUGAUGUUUCGAGGGAACAUUCUCAUUUUUUCGCUCUCCUGAGCAUAUCUAUCAUGUAACUUAGAUGCAGAAUUAAUAUGUAUUUUUCUUCAGUAAAACACACAAUGUCAAGACAUUUAUAUUAGUAAACUGUGUUCUAUAUUCAUCUGAGUAAGGCACAUUUGAUUAUUAGCAUUCUGCUCCUGAGAAACAAGGCAGGUUUGCUUGUCUGUUGCCAUGGAAAUAAAUUAGGAAGGAUAACCUGCCUACUUAUCAAUUUUUAUUAAUGCAAUCAGCCUACCUGCUUAACCCAUAAGUAACAAUAGCACAUUUAAACUAAGCCAAUAAAGCCCUGUAACUCUAGGGGUGCCAGUUAAAGUAAAUAGGAUAGAAAAUUGCUGAAAUAAAAAGUCUGAGUUAUGUGUCAUAGUUAUGGGCCCCAUUAAUAUUACAGGAUAAAGAAUGUUGCCAUUGAGAGGGCUCUAAUGGUGGAAUUACCUUCAACUAACAUUUACUGAGAGGAGGAGAGGCAACUGAGACAAGAAGUCAAGAGGUAUGUAAUAAAACACAAUUGCCCUCCUACUGUAUUGAAGCGGUUUAUAGCUGUAUGUGUUAAAAUUUGAAACUAAAGGAAUCCUAAUUCAAUGCUAGCCAAAUAAACAUGAAAAAUAUAGCAUAUGUUUGAUUGUGAUUAUUUAACAUGCGCUAGAAUAAAGUUCACUGUCCUACAAUAUAAGAAGAACAAAGCUUUCUAAGCCAAUCAAUAUCAAGUUACAAGAUCAAAAAUAGUUAACUUUUAAAAUAUAAUAUACUCAUUUUUAAGUACUCCAGACCCAUGUUUAUUCAUCACUGCAGGUCCAACUAAGCUUAGAAAUAAUUGAUGUUUUCUCCCAGUAAUUCAGACUGACUUGAUCCUCAAUGCCUACAAAUUACUGAGAUUUUACAAAGAUUUUGCAUUAUUGUCAGGGAAAUAGCAAAUACACAUGCAUUUAUUUUCUGAAGUGGGAGAAAAAUUACUUGAGUAUCAUUAUCUAGUUACUAGAUUAAGGAAACACUUAUCACAACAGAGGCAAAAAUCUAAUAUUUAUAAAAUAAUGUUUAAACUUUAGAUGAGGAUAUAACUUUUAAAAAAUGAUCACUUAGUCAUAAAUUUCUAUUUUUCAUCUUCAACUAUAUUCAGUUGCUCAGAGUUUACUAUUCAGAAAACUGAAAUUUAAUGACUGAUCAUUAUGACAUUCACACAACAGAUUAAUCAUAAAUGUGAGAAUUAAAUCAAGUUACUUAUUCUAAUUUUGCAAAAACAAAAAAAGUUUCUGUUGUAAUUCAUAGUUAUUUGAGUUAUAACAUCUCCUGGAUAAAUAAUUUUUUUUUUUGAGACAGAGUCUCACUCUGUCGUCCAGGCUGGAGUGCAGUGGCAUGAUCUCUGUUCACUGAAACCUCCACCUCUGGGAUCAAGGGAUUCUCCUGCCUUAGCCUCCUGAGUAGCUGGGAGAUAAAUAACUUUUUAAAAAGAUCAUCUUAUAUUUACACUAAUAAAAGCAGGUUAUGAAAUACAAAAUCAUCCUUUUUAUGGAUCCCUAUCUAUUCAAUCUGUGCAAAAAGAUGGCUAUGAUAUCUUUAACAUUUAAAGGAUAAUGUGGGUAGACAGUUAACGUUUAUUAUCCAUCAAACCCAAGGUGAAUCCUUAAAUAUACACUGUCCCAUUCAUCUCUAAGAUAAAACAAGUUGGUAAGAUACAUACAUGGUAUCAAGUUUAUAAAUAUGAAAUUACGUCUUAGAAAUGAUAAAUGACAUUCCAAAGUUAACAAAUGGUAAAUAGCAAAGACACAACUGGAACCACAGUUGAUCUUAUUAAAAGUGAUGCAAAAAAAGCAAUUACUUUUGCACCAACCAAAUGUUUUGCAGGAUAUUAGAUAUGUAAGUCCCAUUUCCUAACUACAUUCCUAACAAAUACACAAUAAUACUAGUGCCAUAUAUUUUUGAAGAUGUAAUUUAUGAAGAGAUUGUGCUUGACAGAGUGGAAGUGAUGGGAAUUGAAAAUAUAUCAUAAACAGGGUCUCUGUUAUAAGAAAAAUAUUAGCAUCCAAUGUAGAUAAAUAUAAGUGGUUAACUAUGGUUAUAGGCCUAUAAAUGAGUCUAUCAAAAAGUUAUUUUUUCAGUUUCUUUUUACAAACAUUUAUAUUUAGAUGCAGAUCCCAUGCCAUGCUAUUCAUCCAUUUAAUGUGUGCAAUUCAAUUUUUUUAGUGUUUUCACAAAUAUGCACAACUAUCUUCAGUCAGUUAUUGAAUAAUUACUUCACCUCAAAAAGAAACCCCACACUCUUUAUUCAACAUUACCCUAGGUCCUCAAACCUAAGCAAACACUAAUAUGGAUUCUGUCUCAUAAAUUUGCCUACUCUGGACAUUGAAUAUAAAUGGCAUCAUAUAAUAUGUAUUAUUUUGUGACUAGCUUCUUCCACUCGGUAUAAUCUUUUCAAGUGCCAUUCAUGCUAUAACAUAUAUUGUUAUUCCAUUGCAAGGAUAUACAUAUUUUUUACAUCCAUUGUUCAACUGAUAAAUAUUUAUUUGGGUUGUUCCCAUCUUUUCACUAUUGUGAAUAAUGUGCUAUAAACAUCCAAGUACAAGUUUUUGCUUGGACAUAUGUUUUCACGUCUCCAAUGUACAUGUCAUUCUAAUGGGCGGAAAGAGCUAUUCCACUGUGGUUUGGAUUUGCAGUUCCCUUAUGAUUAAUGACAUGAAAUACUUGCAAGUGCUUAUUGGCUUUCAUAUAUCUUCCACGGGGAAAUUUCUAUUUUGAUCUUUUACCCAUUUUUCAUGAGAUUUUUGACUUUUUUAUUUACUUUAUUGAGUUGUAAUAGUAUUUAAUAUAGAUAAAACUUUCAGAUCAGAUAUAUGAUUUGCAAAUAUUUUCCCAUUCUGCGGGUUGCCUUCUCCCUUUCUUAAUAAUGUCUGUUGAAUGGAAUACUAUGCAGCCACAAAAAGAAUGAGAUCAUGUCCUUUUCAAGGACAUGGAUGGCGCUAGAGGCCAUUAUCCUUAACGAAUUAACACAGCAACAGAAAACGAAAUACUGCAUGUUCUUGCUUAUAAAUGGGAGCUAAAUUAUGAGAACACACAGACACAUAGAGGGGAACAACGCACACUGGGGACCCUCAGAGGGUAGAGGUUGGGAGGUGGGUGAGGAUCAGGAAAAAUAAGUAAUGGGUACGAGGCUUAAUACCUGGGUGAUGAAAUAAUUUGUAUAACAAACCUGCAUGACACAAGUUUACCUAUAUAACAAACCUGCACAAGUAUCCCUGAACUUAAAAUAAAAGCUAAAGGAAAAUAAUGUCUGUCGAAACACAAGUUUUUUUUUAUUUUGAUAAAGUUCAAUUUAUCAAUUUAUCAAGUUAAAUAAAAUUUCAAUAUCAAGUUAAAUAAAAUUUAUCAAUUUUAUUGGUUUCUCAUGGUUUUGUUUCAUUUCUAAGAAUGCACUGCUAAAUCUAAGGUCAGGAAAAUUUUCCUCUGCUUUUCUUCUAAGAGUUCCAUUGCUUUAACUCUUAACAUUUAGGUCACAGAUUUAUUUUCAGUUAAUUUUUGUAUACAGUAGGAGGUAAGAGUUUAAUUUUAUUAUUUUGCAUGUGACUAUUCAGUUUUCUUAGUACAACUUGUCUUUUGUUUGUUUUGUUUGCUUGUUUGUUUUUAUUAGAGACAAAUUAGUGGUUCGUAUCACUUGUUGAAAGACUUUUUCUCCAAUGAUGGAAUUUGGCACUCUUUCAGAAAAUCAGUUGACCAUAGACACAUGGGUUUAUUUCUAGAGUUUAAAUUCUAUUCCUUUGAACUAUAUGUCUGUCCUCAUGACAUUACCACACUGUCUUGAUUACUGUUGCUGCAUAGUAAGUUUUGAAAUCAGGAAGCAUAAGUCAUCCUAUUAUGUUCUUUUAAAAAUUUGUUUAUUUUGGGUCCCUUGCAAUUUCAUACAAAUUUUAGAAUCAGUUUGUCCAUUUCUACCAAUCAAUCAGUUGGAAUUCCGACAGAGAUUGAGUUAAAGUUGCAGAUCAAAUUGAGGAAUAUUGAUAUCUUAACAAUAUUAAGUUUUCUGGUCCAUAAACAUUGGAUUUUUUAAAUUCAUUUAAGUAUUUAAUUUUUUGAAUAAUGCUUUAUAAUUUUCAGAGUAUAGCUGUUCUUCUUUUGUUAACAUAUAUCUGAUAAGGAAUUAAUAUCCAAAAUAUAUUAGGAAGUCACAUAACUCCAUAGCAAGAAAAUAAGUAAUUUUAAAAUGGGCAUGUGAUUUUUCUUUUCUUGUGAGCUCUUUAUCUAAUUUUGGUGUCAGGGUAAUAGUGAACUCAUCGAAUGAGCUGGGAAGUAUUCCCUUCUAUUCAACUUUUUAGAAGAGCCUGCGAAGAUUUGGUAUUAAUUCUUUUUUAAAUGUGUGGUGUAAUUCAGCAGUGUAGUCAACUAGGCCUGAGCUUUCUUUGUGGGUAGCGUUUUGAUUAUUAAUUAAAAGCCUUCACUUAAUGUAGGUUAAUUCAGAUUAUCUAUUUCUUCUUGAGUGUUUUAAGCAAUUUAUUUUAAAAUCAAUUUAGCAAAGACAGAAGAAAUAUGCAUUCAUACUGUCUUUUAUAAUUAUGUAAUUGCCUUUACUAGGGUUCUUUGUUUUUUUGUGUGAGUAUAUGGAUCUAAAUUCCUGUCUGGGCUAACAGCCUGAGAAAAGUUUUUUUAGUGAUUUUUGUAAGGUGUCUAUUUUAAAAACAAAUUUUCUCAGUUUGUGAUUAUCGGGUAAUAUUUCUAUUUCACUUUCAUUUUUGAAAUACAGCUUCAGACUUUUGGUUGACCGUGUCUAUGACCACUUUGUAUAUGAUAUGCUAUUGCACUGCCUUAGGCUUCCCUUGUUUCUAAUGAGAAGUCAGUUGAUAAUUUUAUUGGAGUUCUCUUGUAAGGGAUGAGUUUUGAUUUUGGGCUUUUCUUUUCUUCUCUUGGUACUUUCAAGAGCUUGGCCAGGUGCGGUGACUCAUGCUUGUAAUCCCAGCACUUUCGGAGGCCUAGGUGGGUGGAUCACCUGAGGUUAGGAGUUCAAGACCAGCCUGACAAACAUGGAGAAACCCUGUCUCUUCUAAAAUUACAAAAUUAGCCAGGUGUGGUGGCACAUUCCUAUAAUGCCAGAUACUCGGGAGGCUGAAGCAGGAGAACUGCUUGAACCUGGGAGAUGGAGGUUGUGGUGAGCCAAGAUCACACUAUUGCACUCCAGCCUGGGCAACGAGUGGGAAACUCUGUCUCAAAAAAAAAAAAAAAAAAAAAACAAAUUUUUUUUUGUCUUUCAGCAUUUUUACUGUGAUGUGUUUGUGGAUCACUUUGCAUUUACUCUACUCGGAGUUCGUUGAGCUCCAAGGAUCUGUAAAUUAUUGUUUUUCAAUAACUUUGGGAAGUUUUUAACUGAGUUUUAAAAUAUUUUAUGUGUUCUUUUCUUUCUCUUCUCCUUCUAGUACUCCCACUAUGCUUAUGCUAAUGUGAUGAAUAAUGUCCACAUUUCCCAGACGCCCUCUGUUCAUUUCUUUCUUCAUUUUUCUCUUCGUUAUUCAGAUUGAAUAAUCUCUAUCAGUCUAACUCCAAAUUUGCUAAUUAUUUCUUCUGCCAGUUCAACUCUACUGCUGAGCUGUCUUUCUACAUUUUUUCACUCCAUUAUUAUACUUUUCUAGUGCAGAAUUUUUACUUCUGUUUCAUAAUUUCUAUUGCUCUAUUGAUACUUUCUAUUUGGUUACAUAUUGUCAUCAUAUCUUCCUUGAAUUCUUUAACUGUGCUUUUCUUUCAUUCUUUGAACACAUUUAUAAUGAUGUUUUGAAGUCUAUUACUGUUAAAUCUGACAUCUGUUUACGCUCAUAGGCAGUUUUUGUUGCCUGCCAUUUUUUUUUUUUUUUUUUUGCACAUCUCAUUAUAUAUUUCUUGUGAUCUUUGGAAAGUGAACAUUUUACAGAAUACAUUAUAGCAACUCUGAGUAACCUUCUCCCAGGUUUAUUUGUAUUUGCUCAUUGCUUAUUUAUUUAUUACUAGCUGGGUUUUUUUAGUGGCACCUACUCCUCUCCCCACUUAACCCUCUGAUGUUAUGCUUGUUAUGCCUGAUCAGGGCAGUUACGGAUUGAAUUGUGUCCACUCAAAAUGUAUAUGCUCAUGCACUGACCUCCAGUGCCUCAGAAUGUGACUUUAUUUGGAAACAGAGUCAUUGCUGAUGUAAUUUUUAAAUUAGAAUGAGGUAAUAAUGGAGUAGAAUGGGCUCCUAAUCCAGUGUGCCCAAUAUCCUUAUAAAAAGAGAAAAUUGGCCGAGCAUGUUGGCUCACACCUGUAAUCCCAGCAUUUUGGAAGGCCGAGGCAGGUGGAUCACCUGAGGUCAGGAGCUCGAGACCAGCCUGACCAACAUAAUGAAACCCCGUCUCUACUAAAAAAUACAAAAAAAUUAGCCAGACCUGGUGGUGGGCACCAGUAAUUCUAGCUACUCGGGAGGCUGAGGCAGGAGAAUCUCUUGAACCCAGGAGGUGGAGGUUUCAGUGAGCUGAGAUCACGCCAUUGCACUGGAGCCUGGGUGACAGAGCAAGAUUCUGCCUCAAAAAAAAAAAAAAAAGGAAAUCUGGAGACAGACCCACACACCGGGACAAAACCACAGGAAGAUAAAGACAGCGAUUGUGGUGAUGGUUCUACAUGACAAGGAAGGUAAAAAUGGCCAGCAAACCACCAGAAACUAGAUGAGAAGCAUAGAAUACAUUCUCAUUCACAAACCUCAAAGGAGACAACAUUGCUAACAACUUGAUCUUGAACUUUCUAGCCUCCAGAACUGCAAGGCUAUAAAUUUCUGUUGUUACAGUUUGUGUUACGUUGUUAUGGCAGCUCUAGCAAAGUAAUAUAGGGCAUAGCCUUGGUUAUCUCAUAGUCAUUCUGGUAUGACAGUGGUUUUGACAGCUCUCUUUGAACUCUUUCCUUGACCUCAUUCAGCUGUUCUGUUCCAGUAAUUGCCAGUUGAUUGCUCUAUAGUUUUCAGCAAUAUUCUGAAUCAUAAAUUGAUCCAUAGACAAAGCCAAUCAAGUUCAGGCUCCUUGGAAAGGAUAAUUUGUGAGAACACUGUUUGAGAUUUUAUUUUUUCUCAUCCCAAGUGGGCUCCUCCCACUUAUUUCUUUUUCUGGUUCUCUCAAAGUAUCUGGCAUAAAGUUUUGUCUAUGUCAAAUGAAUCCAGUCAUCUCUUCCCAAUUUCCUUUCACUACAACCUCUCUUGCUUUUGAGAGCACUCUUAGACUUGAAUUUCUCCACAUUCUAUUGCAUGUAAAGAGAAUUACUUUGAGAGAAGAUUAAGAGCUAUGUGUUCUAUGACAUGCUUCUCCCCAGCCUCCAGGCAAAAUCUCUGAGCCACAUCUCUGGAGUUUGAUAUGGAGACAGUGGUGUUCUUCACUCUGAGUGACACCUUGCUUUAGUAACUGAGUGUCCCAUGGUGGAGAGUAGGGAAAGUAGCCUUAGAUCUUCCUGCUAAGUCUUCUGAUAUGGAAUCACUAUCUUAGGAACAAAAGCAAGGGCCCCAGGAUCUCAGUAGUGCCAUGCCCAAGGUAGAGGUUACAUCUCAUGUUUUAGAAUGAAUGGAAGAAACCACCAUCAUUUGGCUAAACUCAUAGUCUCAGUAACGUAUAGCUGGGUUCAGGAUGCAAAGUGUUCAUGUCUUGCCUUUCCUAGGAAAAUAAUACUCUAACAGGAAGCUAGGGGAAGAGGUAGACCUUUAUUUUUGGUUGCACCCAUUUGCAGUUGAUACAGAUAGGAGACAGAGAAUUACUGGGUAGAAGAGGGUGGUUCCCCAGCACAGGCCCCACUCUCAAGCCUGGAUACCUGUAGCCCUAAAAUGAGGAUAGGCAUUCCUGUUUUCAAGCCCAAAAGCUGCCUCUGGCCUGCCAUUCCCCCUAUCCUCUACCCAUAUAAACCCCUGACUCCAGGCUCCAGAAGUAGAGAAGGAGAUGAGCAUAUCAACAGAAGAAUGGUGUGGCAGAGAGAAGAGAAGGGACAUCUGAACACCGAGUGGACUUUGGCUGGGGAUGGUCAGAGAGGAGAUUGGCUGUUGAGCAGCCAAACUCCAGCGGAAGAUCAUCUUCCCACUCCAUCCCCCUUCCAGCUUCCCAUCUAACCUGCUGAGAGUCUCCUCCACCACUCAAUAAAACCCCCGUAUUCAUCCUUCAAGUCCGUGUGACACGAUUCUUCUGGGACACUGGACAAGAGCUCAGGAUACAGAAAGCUGUCACACCGGCCCUCUGCCCUUUCAAAAAAUGGUCCACUGAGCUGGUUAAUACUUAAGCCAUCCGUGGAUGGCAAGGCUAAAAGGGUGAACUUUAACACAUGCCCAUUUGGGCUUCGGGAGUCACAGGCUGUCACACCUGGAUGCUGCCAUGGGGCUGAAGCCUAGGGGUGCUCACUCCAGCUCCUACACCUGCCCGUCUGUAUGCUCCACCUCCUAUAAGGGGUUUGAGCAGCAGCAGCGACCUAACAGACAAGUCACAAUCCUGUUGCAUGUCCUCGGAGGGGAGUCAGGGAACUCUCCUGUUUCAGAGUGAUGUUUCUAUUUUGCUUAAUAUACAAGGAUGAGUAGGAAGAAAGUCUCAGUUCAAAUACCUCAAUUCUCACUGUUCUUACAAAAUGCUAGUAGAUUUUCUUCCAUAAAUAUCUUGUCUAUAUGUCCCUCAUAUCACUUCCUGAGACUUUAAAUGAUUGUUUUUAAGUAAUUUUCACCAUUUCUGCUGGAGUGUGGGUUGCUGGAGCUCCUCAUUCUGUCAUGCUGUAAAUGCCUUUUAAUAUUUUUGAGUGUGUGAAAAAACUAAUAAUAAAGAUUAAUAUAAGACACCAUGGGCUUGUGCUUCAUCUUUUAAAGAUUUAAAGUCAGCAGUUCUCAAGGAAAAUGCUACCCUGGAAAGAAAAUAUAACCUUAAAGUCUGGCAACUGCUCUGGACUUUUUCCUGAGAUUUUCUUUCAAGAAUAAUUAGCUUUCGAAUUCUUAGACAAGAUAUAUUCUGAAAUAUAUCCAAAUCGCCAGACUUUAAAAGGUCAUUAACAAAUCCAAUGAAUGAGGGCAUAGUAAUGCAUUUAGAGAUCAAAAAUGGAGCAAGAAUUCAAGUAUAUAUUCAGCUUUCUGAAACCCCCUCUGUCUGCUCUAUCAACAAUCACCAAAAGGAGACUGAACAGGAACUGCCUAUCCAAUUCCUACACUGAGCACAAAACAAGGUAUUGGUGAAUGAAAUGAUUGCUUAGAAAACUGAAAGCACUCCUCUUUGACUGAAUACAGCUUGAUUUAUUCAUAGAUAAUGUUUUAAGAUAGGAGUUGUGUUAUUAUUGAUUUGUUGUUAUUGACAUAACCUACAUCAAGUAUAACAAUUUUCUAAAUAUUUCAGUGAUAUGAGAAAGUCUUAUUAACUAUUUGAUUUAUAAGAAUAUUUUAAAAACCAUGUAGAACUGCUAUAAGAUUUUUGCAAAAUUAUCGUGUCAGAAAUGGUACUAAGAUUUAUCACUUGGCACUGUGUCUUACUGUGUUUCUAAUAAGUUGUUUUGUGCACUAUUUUUUAAGAAUUUUCUGAUAAUGAUUACUUUUGGAGAACUCUGUAAGUGUAAGUUAUUAUUUGUUAUCUCAUUUUCUUAGAGGUUUACAUAUAAAUUUGCUAUUGUUUGUUUUUUCACACAUAGUAUAAAAAUAUAAUAGUUGCAGCAUGGUACUUAAUUUCAUUCCAUUCACUUCUUAAUAAGCUGUAUUUGUACUCAAAAGGCAUUUUUAGAAAUGUGCUCACUAAUAUAAUCUCUCAUCUAUAAUUUCUACCACAAGGCAGCUAAAAUUCCCUCUUGAGCAAGAUAGAUGUGCAAAUUUAGUAUUUUAAUGAGGAAGUUUAAAUUUAUUUUCAAGAACACUUCACUUAGGCUAGGUUAUUUUGAACAUGUAUAAAUACAAGCACUCAAUGUUUUAAGUGGGAAACCACUACUUGCUUAUAGUGCUGGGAUGCAGAUAGUCAGGUUGAGUUUAAAAAUAACCUUCCCUGAAGAUCCUUUGAUUAAUUUAUCCCAGAGCAAGUUUUCUUUACUGACCUUUGCAUGAACUUCACUCACUGCUGUAUGACCUCUGUUUUGCUUGUGCACAAUAUCUUUCUGUCCCUGCAGCUGGG
rnacentral:lncRNA from 1 species